GACGAACGCUGGCGGCGUGCUUAACACAUGCAAGUCGAACGGAAAGGCCCUGCUUUUGUGGGGUGCUCGAGUGGCGAACGGGUGAGUAACACGUGAGUAACCUGCCCUUGACUUUGGGAUAACUUCAGGAAACUGGGGCUAAUACCGGAUAGGAGCUCCUGCUGCAUGGUGGGGGUUGUAAAGUUUCGGCGGUUGGGGAUGGACUCGCGGCUUAUCAGCUUGUUGGUGGGGUAGUGGCUUACCAAGGCUUUGACGGGUAGCCGGCCUGAGAGGGUGACCGGCCACAUUGGGACUGAGAUACGGCCCAGCCUCCUACGGGAGGCAGCAGUGGGGAAUAUUGGACAAUGGGCGGAAGCCUGAUGCAGCAACGCCGCGUGCGGGAUGACGGCCUUCGGGUUGUAAACCGCUUGCGCCUGUGACGAAGCGUGAGUGACGGUAAUGGGUAAAGAAGCACCGGCUAACUACGUG
rnacentral:rRNA from 1 species